GGAGUUGUAGCUCAGGGGUAGAGCACUCAUCUAGCAUGUGCGGGACCCUGGGUUCAAUCCUCAGCACUACA
rnacentral:tRNA from 1 species